GGAUGGAUUCCCGAGUGGCCAAAGGGGGCAGACUGUAAAUCUGUUAGCAACGCUUGUGGCCAAAGGGGGCAGACUGUAAAUCUGUUAGCAACGCUUUCGAAGGUUCGAAUCCUUCUCCAUCCA
rnacentral:tRNA from 1 species